GCGACAUUUUCAGUUAACAGAAAUUCCAAAAUUCGUUGUAGUUCUUAAAAUUUUACUGAUUUUUUGAUAGAAAAAGUUAUUUUUCUGUGCACUAUUUGAGUUUAUUCUGUUCCUUAAGGCCAUUUUAAUCUUCUGAAAAUGAGUGUUAUUACAAUGAUAAUACAGUUCCAGCACCUAAAGAACACCUAAGAGAAGAGACUUUUGAUCACCCUUUAUAUGUAUAAUUCUGUUUGGCCAUUAUUCUGGUUCACAAGAUUGGAUAAUUUCUAUUAUCUGAUUAAAAAUUUUAUACAAUUCAAUACAGUUACAGGGCAGUGCAUUUAUCCUUUUUGUGAAUAUUACGAACGAUGCAUCAGGACUUAUAAGUAUAA